rnacentral:ncRNA from 1 species
AUAAUAAUUUAUUUUAUUAUAAAAUUUUAUUAAAUUAAAAAAAUAUAUGAAAUUUAAAAAUUGAUUACAUAUUCUUAAAGAAAAUAAAUCAAUACUCAGUAUAAAAUAUUAAAAAUUAAAGAAAUUUAGAUUUAAUUAUUAAUUUUAGUAUAAACUAAUUAUGUGCCAGCAGUUGCGGUUAAACAUAAUAUACAAAUAAAAUUAUUUGGUUAUUAGUAAAAAUUAAAAAUUAUAUAGUAAUUUUUAUUUUAAGGUAAAAUUUAAUUUAAAAUUAUAGUUAUAAUUAUUUUAUUCUAUUAAAUUUUAGUUAAAACUAGGAUUAGAUACCCUAUUAUAAAAAUAUAAAAUAAUUACUAAAAAAUUAAUAGUUAUGUUCUUUAAAUUUAAAAAAUUUGGCGGUAUUUUAUUCUUAUUAGAGGAACCUGUUUUAUAAUUGAUAAUCCACGAUUAAUUUUACUUAUUUUAAAAAUUUAUAUAUCGCUGUCAGUAAAUAUAUUAAUAAAUUUAUUUUUUUUAAUUAAUUUUAAAAUUUAUGUUAAGUCAAGAUGUAGUUAAUAAUUAAGAAAAUAAUGGGUUACAUUAAAUUAUAUUUUUGGAUAAAAAAUGAAAAUUUUAUUGAAAUUGGAUUUAAAAGUAAUUUAAAUUAUUUAAUUUAUUUGAAUAAAGAUCUAAAAUAUGUACAUAUUGCCCGUCAUUCUUAUUAAAAAUAAGACAAGUCGUAACAAAGUAAAUGUACUGGAAAGUGUAUUUAGAAAGAA